GACGAACGCUGGCGGCGUGCUUAACACAUGCAGGUCGAACGGAAAGGCCCUGCUUUUGUGGGGUGCUCGAGUGGCGAACGGGUGAGUAACACGUGAGUAACCUGCCCUUGACUUUGGGAUAACUUCAGGAAACUGGGGCUAAUACCGGAUAGGAGCUCCUGCUGCAUGGUGGGGGUUGGAAAGUUUCGGCGGUUGGGGAUGGACUCGCGGCUUAUCAGCUUGUUGGUGGGGUAGUGGCUUACCAAGGCUUUGACGGGUAGCCGGCCUGAGAGGGUGACCGGCCACAUUGGGACUGAGAUACGGCCCAGACUCCUACGGGAGGCAGCAGUGGGUAAUAUUGCACAAUGGGCGGAAGCCUGAUGCAGCAACGCCGCGUGCGGGAUGACGGCCUUCGGGUUGUAAACCGCUUUCGCCUGUGACGAAGCGUGAGUGACGGUAAUGGGUAAAGAAGCACCGGCUAACUACGUG
rnacentral:rRNA from 1 species